rnacentral:rRNA from 1 species
CCCUACGGGGGGCAGCAGUGAGGAAUAUUGGUCAAUGGGCGAGAGCCUGAACCAGCCAAGUCGCGUGAAGGAUGACGGCCCUAUGGGUUGUAAACUUCUUUUGUCAGGGAGCAAUUGAGUCCACGUGUGGGCUUAGCGAGAGUACCUGAAGAAAAAGCAUCGGCUAACUCCGUGCCAGCAGCCGCGGUAAUACGGAGGAUGCGAGCGUUAUCCGGAUUUAUUGGGUUUAAAGGGUGCGUAGGCGGAUCGUUAAGUCAGUGGUCAAAUUGAGGGGCUCAACCCCUUCCCGCCAUUGAAACUGGCGC